rnacentral:rRNA from 1 species
GACGAACGCUGGCGGCGUGCUUAACACAUGCAAGUCGAACGAAGAGCGAUGGAAGCUUGCUUCUAUCAAUCUUAGUGGCGAACGGGUGAGUAACGCGUAAUCAACCUGCCCUUCAGAGGGGGACAACAGUUGGAAACGACUGCUAAUACCGCAUACGAUCUAACCUCGGCAUCGAGGAUAGAUGAAAGGUGGCCUCUACAUGUAAGCUAUCACUGAAGGAGGGGAUUGCGUCUGAUUAGCUAGUUGGAGGGGUAACGGCCCACCAAGGCGAUGAUCAGUAGACGGUCUGAGAGGAUGAACGGCCACAUUGGGACUGAGACACGGCCCAGACGCCUACGGGAGGCAGCAGUGGGGAAUCUUCCGCAAUGGACGAAAGUCUGACGGAGCAACGCCGCGUGAGUGAUGACGGCCUUCGGGUUGUAAAGCUCUGUUAAUCGGGACGAAAGGCCUUCUUGCGAAUAGUGAGAAGGAUUGACGGUACCGGAAUAGAAAGCCACGGCUAACUACGUG